CUUAAAGUGGUUUGUUGUACUUGAAGAGACACCAUGGGAUGAAACCAGCCACAUUGACAACAUGGAAAAUGAGCGGAUUCCCUUUGACUUGAUGGAUACUGUCCCUGCUGAGCAGUUGUAUGAGACCCACUUGGAGAAGCUGAGGAAUGAGAGGAAGAGAGCUGAGAUGCGAAGGGCUUUCAAAGAAAACCUGGAGACCUCUCCUUUCAUAACUCCUGGGAAACCUUGGGAAGAAGCUCGUAGUUUUAUUAUGAAUGAAGACUUCUACCAGUGGCUGGAAGAAUCUGUGUACAUGGACAUCUAUGGCAAGCAC
rnacentral:lncRNA from 1 species